ACUUCUGAUGUUAUUGGUUUCGGCCCAAUUCUUGCUUUUAUGGCCAGAAGU
rnacentral:tRNA from 1 species